CGACCGGCGCACGGGUGAGUAACGCGUAUCCAACCUGCCUUACACUCUUGGACAGCCUUCUGAAAGGGAGAUUAAUACAAGAUGUUAUCAUGAGUAAGCAUUUUCACAUGAUUAAAGGUUUACCGGUGUAAGAUGGGGAUGCGUUCCAUUAGAUAGUAGGCGGGGUAACGGCCCACCUAGCUUCGAUGGAUAGGGGUUCUGAGAGGAAGGUCCCCCACAUUGGAACUGAGACACGGUCCAA
rnacentral:rRNA from 1 species